rnacentral:rRNA from 1 species
UACGUAGGUGGCAAGCGUUGUCCGGAUUUACUGGGCGUAAAGAGCGCGCAGGCGGUCGUUCAAGUCGCGUGUGAAAGCCCCCCGGCUCAACUGGGGAGGGUCACGCGAUACUGAUCGACUGGAAGGCAGGAGAGGGUAGUGGAAUUCCCGGUGUAGUGGUGAAAUGCGUAGAUAUCGGGAGGAACACCAGUGGCGAAGGCGACUACCUGGAGCUUUGCUGACGCUGAUGCGCGAAAGCGUGGGGAGCGAUCCGG